rnacentral:rRNA from 1 species
AUGGAGCUGAGCGGAGCCAGCCUCUCCUUCGUUUUACUCAUCUCAGUGUACGUGAUAAUAGUUUCCUUGCUUAGCCGCAAAUUAUUAGCAAGUUGUAAGAAGCGGCGGCCUCCUGGCCCAUGGAGUCUACCCUUGAUCGGAAACCUGCACCAGAUCCUCACGACGAAGCUGCCGGUCGUCCUCCGGGACCUGGCCGAGAAGCACGGGCCGGUUAUGUACCUUCGGCUGGGCCAGAUCGACGCGGUGGUGGUCUCCUCGCCAGCGGCAGCCCAGGAAGUGCUCCGGGACAAGGAUCUCACAUUCGCGUCCCGGCCGAGCAUUCUGGUCACCGAGAUCACCCUCUACGGAAAUCUCGACGUCGCCUUCGCGCCAUACGGCGCAUACUGGCGGACGCUGCGCAAGAUCUGCACGGUGGAGCUCCUGAGCGACCGGAAGGUGAGGCAGUUUUCGCCGGAGAGGGACAGCGAGACCAUGUCCCUUGUUAGGAACGUUGGCGAGGCCGGCCGGGGUGGCAAGCCGUUUAACCUCGGCAGGCUGUUGGUGGCGUGCUCGUACUCAGUAACAUCGAAGACGGCGUUUGGGGACAAGUGCAGCUCCGAGCUCCAGCAGCAGUUUGUGUCGGCCAUGGAUGCGGGGCUGAAACUCAGCGCCGGGCUCUGCGUCGGAGACGUCUUCCCGUCGCUGUGGUUCGUCGACGUGCUCACCGGGCUGAGAGGCCGGCUAUGGCGAGCCCGCCGGCAGCAGGAGAAGGUCCUGGACAACAUCAUCUCUCAGUCGGAGAUGCGGCCAGGUGAUCACCUUCUAAGCGUUUUGCUUAGGAUCCGGGACGAGGGGGAGCUUGACUUCCCGAUGGAACUGGAUAACAUCAAGGCAAUCAUAAUGGAUAUGUUCACGGCCGGCACGGAGACAACAUCAUCAGCCGCCGAGUGGGUCAUGUCAGAGCUCAUGAGGAACCCGGAAGUGAUGACCAUGGCGCAGGAUGAGGUGCGACGAACGUUCAAUGAUAAGAGCCCACAAGACCAUGAUGGACACGUAGCGGAGCUGCACUACACAAAGAUGGUAAUCAUGGAGAGCAUGAGGCUAAAUCCAGUGGUGCCGCUGCUGCUUCCCCGUGUCUGUCGAGAGACCUGCGACGUCGGCGGGUUUGAGGUCACCAAGGGUACCAGGGUUAUGGUAAAUACCUGGGCGUUGGGCAGGAACCCCGAGCACUGGCAUGAGCCAGAGGAGUUCAGGCCAGAGAGGUUCAAGAAUGGCGCAGCUACCUACAAAGGAUCGCGGUUCGACUAUUUGCCGUUCGGUAGCGGGAGGAGGAACUGCCCCGGCGAUAACUAUGGGGUGGCUGUGUUGGAGCUCAUAGUGGCACGGCUUCUCUACUACUUUGAUUGGAGCCUCCCCGCCGGAGUGAAACCAAGUGAGCUGGACAUGGAAAUGAUCGCUACCGUAAGCUCAAGGAGAAAGAACCAGCUGCACAUAGUGGCGACACCGUAUGAGGCAUGCAGUUGUUAA